UCCCUCGAGCCGGAUUUGAACCAGCGACCUAAGGAUCACCGUUGUAACAUCUACAGUCCUCCGAUCUGCCAACUGAGCUAUCGAGGG
rnacentral:tRNA from 1 species